UGGCCCUUCAUCAGCCAUCACCCCACCCCAUGUUCAUGUUGAGGAAGCUAGUGGGUUACCUGUUCAACAAGAAGGUCGGCCGAAACGCAUAUCAAAGGCACCUCCUUGUGGGACAGGAGGGCAUAAACAUGGACACAACGCUGGGCCCGAGGCAUCUGACGAAGGACAUGCAAGACCUCCUCCUUAUUAUACGAGACGGCAUAAGGUCCAAAAAAGAUGAUGAUGCUAUGAAAAGGCCGGAAGCACCAAAAUUCAAGUUCAGCACAAUAAAAGUACCAACAAAUAACCUUUCCAAUGCCAAUAAGCUUGGAGGAGGCAGCUUUUAGGUCGAUUCUCAAGGCCGAGCAAGCCCCUCUCGAUCUCUGGCUUAUCAUCGCUAGGGAGUACUUCGAACAAUGAAAAGUUGAACAAUUCCGUCAAAUUUUGGAGGAAGGUUCAGGCCCUGGUAAUUUUGUCUCCG